UGGGGAAUUUUGGACAAUGGGCGCAAGCCUGAUCCAGCCAUGCCGCGUGUCUGAAGAAGGCCUUCGGGUUGUAAAGGACUUUUGUCAGGGAAGAAAAGGCUGUUGCUAAUAUCAGCGGCUGAUGACGGUACCUGAAGAAUAAGCACCGGCUAACUACGUGCCAGCAGCCGCGGUAAUACGUAGGGUGCGAGCGUUAAUCGGAAUUACUGGGCGUAAGGCGAGCGCAGACGGUUACUUAAGCAGGAUGUGAAAUCCCCGGGCUCAACCUGGGAACUGCGUUCUGAACUGGGUGACUAGAGUGUGUCAGAGGGAGGUAGAAUUCCACGUGUAGCAGUGAAAUGCGUAGAGAUGUGGAGGAAUACCGAUGGCGAAGGCAGCCUCCUGGGAUAACACUGGCGUUCAUGCUCGAAAGCGUGGGUAGCAAACAGGAUUAGAUACCCUGGUAGUCCACGCCCUAAACGAUGUCAAUUAGCUGUUGGGCAACUUGAUUGUUCAGUAGCGUAGCUAACGCGUGAAAUUGACCGCCUGGGGAGUACGGUCGCAAGAUUA
rnacentral:rRNA from 1 species